UACGAAGGUGGCAAGCGUUGUUCGGAUUUACUGGGCGUACAGGGAGCGUAGGCGGUUGGGUAAGCCCUCCGUGAAAUCUCCGGGCCUAACCCGGAAAGUGCGGAGGGGACUGCUCGGCUAGAGGAUGGGAGAGGAGCGCGGAAUUCCCGGUGUAGCGGUGAAAUGCGUAGAGAUCGGGAGGAACACCGGUGGCGAAGGCGGCGACCUGGGUAGAUACUGACGCUGAGGUGCGAAAGCGUGGGGAGCAAACAGG
rnacentral:rRNA from 1 species